CGGGUUCAAGUCCCUCUAUCCCCA
rnacentral:tRNA from 2 species